UUCCGCCAGGGAGUGCGAGCGGGGCGAGGCCCCUCAAAGCCGGAAGCCGGGUCUUCGCAGCAGUCGACAGGGUCGCCUGACGCGGGCACAGCGUCCUCCAAGAGGCCACCUUGCUGAGAGGCAGACUUCCCAUCCACAAAAUGGGAUAUUGAUUCCUAAUAAACACCUUGUGCCUAAACUCUGUCUUCGUGUCUGCCUGCAUAGAACCCAACCUGCAACACAAAUUCUGAUUCCUGGAGGUCAGGGUGAUCAGGGAAGCCUUCCUGGAGGCAACAGUCAAGCUGAAACUCAGAAGAUACAAGGAACAGCCAUGAGAAGAGUGAAGAGGAAGAUGUUCCAGGCGGAGGGAACAGCGUGUGCAAAAUCCCUGAGUUUCUACAGCCUCAGAGUCUGAGAUGGACCUCAAAGGCCCCAGAGUUGUAAGUUUCAAAGAAUCCAUUGUUGAAAGAUUCAAUGACAUACGAAUUCUGUCAGCUGGCUAUGGACAUACCAUGUUUGGGCGUCCUUGACCCAGGAUCAUGGGAUUUACCAUGGGCAAGCUGAAGAGGCUGGCUGGCCAGCCUAAACCUGCCACUCUCAGCCACAAAACCAAUGAGCAUGACAAGUUUGGGACCCUCAACUCCUGAGAAGUGCCCUCCUCUUCCCCCAACACUUACCACUGGGGAUAACUUGACCUUCUGGCUAAAGGCUCAUUGACCUUGACUAGCUCCUGGAAUCCGUAAAGACACAGGAAGACCAUCACUCCCCUAGCUUGGAACUCCAUUCCUGAAGGACCUGCUGUGGCUCCCUACUGUCUUUCAAACCAAGUUCUAUUUCUCAGUUCUUUUGGAGCCCCUUAAUAUCUUGUUCACUUCAAGAAAAAAACAAACAAAAAACUUCCCCAAAACAAGAAUAAGGAGCAGAAACAAAAACUCUGUCUUUGAGGAAAUCGAGAGACAUUUGUAACCCUGAACUACAAAGAAGGGAAAUGGAUGAAGUGGCCAGUGACAUAACCGAGAGGAAGAAAGUCAAACCUAAAUGGAUGGGGUAGGUGACUGCUGUGUGGGUGGAUUGCUGCAAAGAGAAACAAGCCAAUUUGCCUAAAAGCCUCAAAAAUUGAAGCUACUAGGUCUUGGAGGAGCUGCUGGUGAAGUGGGGAUUGAAAGCAAUCUGUACAAGGAGCGUGGGACCUCUACGUCCCCAACCCCCAUCCUGCCCAGCCAGGUAGUAACCCCACUCACUUCUGGGCAAGCAAAGGGAGGUUUAUUCUCUGAAAAAAAGGCAACAAAGAAACUCCAAAACUAGAAACAUCAGGCCCAGAGAAGGUGAGAUCUUCAGCCCCCUUCACCCGUCUCAUUCUAGAAUGUCCAACCCCAGGCAGAAAAUUAUCUGGAGAACCACUUCCAGGACAAAGACCUAAAGAUACAGUAAUGGGGGGUGGGAGGAGAGUACAUCACAGAAAAAGCCAACCAGCCCCUUUGUACCAGCCCUGUGCAACCACCCUGCAUGGACCCUACACAAAAGCCUACCAGUCCACCCUCCCCACCCAGUUUCCAGCCAGAUUGGUAAUGUGAGUAGACAGCCAAGGAUCAUUAGAAAUUUAAGAAAUUUCUAUCAUGAAGUGCAGAGAUCAAAGCAAACCAUGAGGGCGGGGUAAAAUGUCUUCAAGAAAAAGAAUCCAGGGAACAAGAGAAAACUUAAAAUAAAUCCUACAAUUAAUAUCCCUUGAGUGAUAAAGAUAUUGCAACAGUAAAAUGUGAACAAGAAGCUCUCUGGAAGGAACAGAGAGUAAGAAACCAGAGAUUAAAAAUCUGUGCAGUAGAUUGCACAAAUGGCCCCAAGUUUUUUCUGUCCCAGAAUGCCUGCCACUUCCCAGUGAAACUGCAGAACUUCCCAUCAUGGCAUAGAAUCUGGUUAUCUAUUGUUGCAUGACAAACCAUCCCCAAAAUUAGUGGAUUAAUUUUGUGGGUUAAAAACUGAGGGAGGGUGCAACUGGGUGAUGAUUCUGUUCCACGUGGUGUUGAUGGAGCUCACUUAGUGGUCUUCAGCUGGUGGAUGAGCUGGUCUGGAGGGCCCAAGAUGACAUCACUCACCAGUCUGGCUCCUUUGGCCCAGAUGGCUGGAAGGCUGUCUCAACUGGAUUGUUGAGUGGAGUGUUGACAUGUAGCUUUUCCAGCACGGUGAUCUCAUACCUCUUCCUCAAUGGCUGGCUUACCCCGGAGUGAGUGUCCCAGGAGAACCAGGUGGAAACUGUAGGGCCUUUUCUAACUUAUCUUCAGAAGUUAUGCCACGUCACUUUUGCUGCAUUACUAAGGUACAGGCCCAAGCAAGGGAAGGUGUCAUGAACCCUAUCUGCUGAUGGGACAAGUGUCAAAGGAUUGGUGCACAUGUUUUAAAACUUCCAUGCUACCAGGGGCUGUGCUCCACCAAAAAGAGGAACUAAACCAAGAAGAGGAACCAUGAGCUUUUCCUGUGUAACAAAUUGCCUGAAAAUGGCCACCAUUUAUUCGCUUAUGAACCUAAAGCUCAGUAGCGGCGUGGGCUGGGCUCCAUGUGGUCUUGGCUGGCUUCUCUCCUGUGUCUGCCGUCAGCUGGUGGUCAAUGGCCUCACUCACAUAUAUGCUGGUUGGCUUGGCACAGCUGGGGUAACAGAGAUGAUUUAGCCAUCAGUCUCUUAUACUUCAGCAAACCAGCCUGGGUUUGCUGCCAGCCUGGUUGUGGUCACAGGGUUCCCCAGAGCUGAAAGGGCAAAGGCUCAUAUGCACAAGUAAUUUUCCAGCUGCUGCUUGUGUCAUGUUUGCCGUUAUGCCAUUGGCCAAAGCAAGUCACAUGACCAAGCCCAGAGUCAAUGUGAGAGGGGCUUGGACAAGAGCUUAGACACAGGCAGGGGAAUGAAUCUCUGUGGCUUUUAUUUUGUAAAUUUUCUAUGAUGAACUGAGAUAUAGCAGUCUGUGGUUUCAACACAGGAGAGACAAAGGAAUUCCUAAUGGUGUCUGUGCCCCAAGUCUAGAGCAAAACUAGUCCAGAUAGGCAUCAAAGUUCAGAGCUCCAGAAAAAAAAAUGGCAGCAGCAUUAAAUUAUCAGACAGGUUUGUCUGUGAGGAAAUCAUGUUGAGGGAUGUUUUACAGAGCGGUUUUCUGAGUGAGGGAAGACUUGGGUCAAAUGUUCAAAGAAAGCUAAACAAACAAAAAGCACUUUUUAAAAGGGUAUUGCUAAAGAUGGUUUCUUUUUAUUUUUUCUUUUAUUUUUUAAUCAUGCAAUAGUUGGCCAUAUUUGGGGUGUAUAUGUGAUAUUUUGAUACCUGUAUACAAUGCUUAAGAAUUAAAUCUGGGUGAUUGGGAUAUUCAUUACCUUAAAGAUGUAUCUUCAUAUGUAACAUGGGGCAACACAUCGGGUUCUCAGUCACGCGUGGUGGCUCAUGCCCAUAAUCCCAGAGCUUUGGGAGGCUGAGGCAGGAAGAUCAUUUGAGCCCAGGAGUUCAAGGCUGCAGUGAGCCAUCACUGCACCACUGCAUCCCAGCCUGAGUGACAGAGCAAACUCUGUCUCUAAAAACAACAAAAAAAAUCUGGUCCUCAGGAGUGUCACGAGGGCCAGAUGGGAUCAUGUGAUCAGGUGAUCAGGUGACCAAUGGGUCUUUAAAGAUUUAGGUGUCCCAUUCUUGUCAGUGAACAUUGCCCCCAAUAUAUUUAAUAGGUACGUUCACAAAGUAAAAACGUAAUAUAUUAUCAAUCAAUAUAUUAUCAUCUUAUAUGAUAUACACAAAAUGAAAAUUUUUAAAAGAUGAGAUCAAAUAUACAGAUAGAAUUACUAAUUGUUUUUCUUGCAACCUGGUGGAGUAUACUCUGCAAUGCAUGGACUCCACUGGAAAAGGCUGGUCUAGGAGAUAGUAGGUAUUUAAUAAAUGUAAGCACUUAAAAACACAAUUAUUAUUGUUAGAUAAAACUCUUGUUCUUCUCCUAGCCCACAAGCUCAGUGGAAGUAGAGACCAGAUAAAGUUUCCCUGAAGUAUACCCAAUAGGAGUUCAACAAAUGUUGUUGGUGGAUGUGCCCAGGGUGAGAGAAGUGUAGCGGAAAGAGCACUGGGUUUGGGAUUAAACAAUCUUGGGCCCAAAUUCUAGAUUGGUCAAAAGCUCACUGUGUAGGCUGGGCACAGUGGUUCAUGCCUAUAAUCCCAGCACUUUGGGAGACCGAGGCAGGUGGAUUGCUUGAGGUCAGGAGUUCAAGACCAGCCUGGCCAACAUGGCAAAACCUCUCUCUACUAAGAAAAAAAAAUAGCUGGGCAUGGUGGCGGGCACCUGUAAUCCCAGCUACUUGGGAGGCUGAGGCAGAGAAUCGCUUGAACCUGGGAGGUGGAGGCUGCAGUGAGCCAAGGUUAUGCCACUGCACUCCAGCCUGGGCAACACAGUGAGACUCCAUCUCAAAAAAAAAAAAAAAAAAAAAAGCUCGUUGUGUGACUCUGAGCAGGUCAGUGCGAUUCUCUGGACCUCAGUUUCCUCAUCUGUUAGAGGAAACUAACAAACCCUCCCUGGUAGGACUGAAUUGAGAGUGACAGGUGUUAAUGGGUGUGAAUGUGUUCUGUUCCCUGUAAGAAUGCUAUUCCAUGGGUAUUACCAUCACUCACCCAACAAACAUCCUCUGUCCCCAAGUUGUGUUGAGGAGUGUUAGAGUGCUUUUGGCUACAAGUAACAGAAUACUCGAUUAAAUGUGCCUUAAACCAUAGAGGUUAUUCAUUUUUUUAAUGUUUUGGAUUGCUGUAUUGCAUAAAUAAAGCAAACGAAUCUUGAGCUGUAAUGGCUGAAGGAAUUUUUGGCAAGGGUAUGAUCUAGAUCAAGAUGUAGAACAUUCUUGACACCCCAUUUGGCCCCCCCCAUACCUCCUUCCCAGCUACUGCUCCCCACUGCUCCACCCGCCAUUGCAAAGGGUAACCACUAACCAACUUCUAACAGCAUAGAAUGGUUUUGCCCAUUCUUAAACUUCAUAGAAAUGAAUCAUGCUGUAUGUACUCUUUUGUGUCUAGCUUCUUUUGCACAAUAUAAUUUUAAGAUUCAUCCAUAUUGCUACAUGUGUCAGUAGUUUAUUCUUUUUCACUGCUGUGUAGUUUAAAAAGUAACUAUUUUAUCCAUGUAGUAUUUCCAAUAUAUCCAUUUUUUAUAUUCAUAAAAUAACAUAUACAUCCAUUGUAUGGAUAUAUCACAACUUUUCUGUUCUUUUGUUGACAGGCAUUGGCGGUGUUUCUUGUGUUUUGCUGUUCUGAAUAAAGCUACUAUGAUCAUCUACAUACACAUCUUCUUGUGGACAUGUUUUUAUUUUUCUUGGGUAAAUGCCUGGUCAUCAGUCCUAGGGUCGUUCAGAGGAUCAACAAUGUCAUCAAAGUGUCGAGCUUUUACUGUCCUUCGUUUUACCCCUCAGAGUGUGGUAAGGAUGUUUCCUUGUGGUCACAAGAUGGCUGUCACAGCUCUAACCAUCACAUUCUCACGACCGAAAGCAGGAAGAAAGAGGGGGUGAAGGUAGAUAGAGAGAAAAAACCCCUUCCCAGAAGUUCCCAGCAGACUUUCCCUGUUGUCUCAUUGGCCAAAACUCGGUCACAUGGCAACCCCUCACCACAAGAGAGGCUGGGAAACUAUCUUCCGUUUUCAGCCUCUGUCCUAAGAGAUGGGCUCUGCCAGCCUGGGAAAGGGGGAGGAAGGAGAAGCGUAACAUACAAUCAGUGAGUAAUUACAACGUCUACUAUGAGAAUCAAUAAGUAACUAAGGUAGCAUGACCAACUGCCCUGGUUUACCUGGGAAAUGGGACGUUUUAGAACUCAAACCAGGAAAGUCCUGAGCAGACCAGGAAAAGCUGGUCACCCCUACCUUAAAGAGCUUUCACUCAGCCUGUAGGCAGGAUCGGCUAGACCUCAUCUCAAACCUAGAUGGAGAAAGUAAUCAGAUAAGGUUCUAGGAAGGGAGUGUGAGGCUUGCCUGCGUCUUUAGUUACCCCAACCUUAGACACCAGCCCCCGACAUUCUACCAUUAGCUCUACUCUAGCCAGUCAGUCUGGCUCAGAAUAUUGAUGUGUGCCUCAGAUGCGCCAGGCUCUGCCCUAAGAGCUGAAAUUCCUGGUUGCAUCAGAUACGGUUCCUGCCCAAAGGAGCACCAGACCAGUGGGGGAGAUGUCAGGUAGACAGACAGUCAGAUAUGAGCAUUGUGCUGGAGGCAGCAGGAUGGGAGGACAGAGUGCAGCCUGGCAGGCCUUUCUGGGGAAGGCACUGCCUCCUCUGGGAUGUGUAGGAGCCUGACUGGUAGAUGAAUAAAAAAAACAUUUCAGGUAUGAGCACUGUCCACUCUGCAGUCUUCUUUUAAAGAUGCUGGGCAGCUCAUUCUUGGGAAUUUAUUUUCUCCUUAAUAAGAUUUUAUUUCUCCCUUAUAAAGGUCCACCUUCCAUCUGCAGGGUUCUCUGCAAGCCCUUUUACAUCCACUUAUUUGACCCUCACAAUGGCACUUUGUGGGUGCAGAGCUGCACUACAGAGAUGACUACCUCAUUUUAUGGAGGAGGAAACUCAGGCCCAGCGAGGAAGAGGAGGAGUCACCUACACAAGGUCACAUGGCUACUAAGUGCCCAGUGGGCAUUUAAACUCAGCUCCAUUUCCCUACAGCUGCCUUUUUCUGGGCAGGGCCAAGGUUGCUCCAGUGCUUGGGAGGGGAGAGCAGGUCUCCUCGUGGUAGACUCCUCUCUGCAGUGUCCCCCUGGCAAGAGCACCAUUACAGAUAAUGGGGGUCUGUGCCCAGAUGUGGCCCCAGGACCAUCCCAUUGUACAUCAGCCUGCCACAGGGAACGACUAUCCUGUCCCCAUUGCCAGAACCCUGCUUAGUCCUUUUGGAAGCAAGAAGCCCUCCUCCCCCUCUCAGAGAAAUGGCAGUUUUAGGAGUCCAGGAGAGAAGGUAGUGGAGUCCCAUGGGGUCAGCAGAAGUGCUGAUGCGAUUGGUCACUCACCAACAGCAUCAACUAACCCCACCCCCUGGGAGGAGUGGGGUGGCUCCAGGCUCCAUGGUCUCUUAGAAGUGGCUCGGCACCAGCAGGGUCUGUGAAGUGGAGACAAAAGACUGGCCCUUUCCCCAGAAUCUAAACCCUGAAAGCCCUUCUGAAACUGCCAUGCAAAUGGGGCGUCAUCACCCACAGACCUCACAAGCAACAGUGUGGAUUCACUCAUUUAUCUACUCAUUCAUUCAUUCUGAUUUUUUUUGGCACCUUACCUCAAGGAGCCUGUUAAUAUUAAUCUAGUUCACUGUAUCAAUCUUUUCUUGUAUAAUAGUUCCUUUCUUUUAUGAUAGUGCUCGCUUCUCAGAGCUGGGGAGACAAUGAUGGACUAGGUUGCCUCACUAAGCCAAUGGUGGAGUGAAAGAGACCUUAAAGGAUUAAUCCCAUCAAUAUGCAAUUUGAGUGUGAUAACACUCAUAGGAAGAGUGUAGAGAUGGACAAAGCCAGAUGACUGAUUUAUUUGGGAGGUGUGGGAGGUUGGCUCACCAUAGGCCCCUGGCACUCUUUGUUUGGGAUCCCCACCUUGUAUCAAAUAUUUUUAAAUGUACCACAUUAAAUAUAUUUUUAGCUGUAAAAAUUUUAAAAUUUUUACCUUUUGUA